rnacentral:rRNA from 1 species
AGUCUUUUGGGUUUUUAUAAAAGAUGUUUUCUGCUCAGUGGUGUGUAAACAGCCGCGGUAAUUUGACCGUGCAAAGGUAGCAUAAUCAUUUGCUCUAUAAUUGAGGGCUGGAAUGAAUGGAAUAACGAGGUGUCUUCUUUAUUUGAAAGAGAAAAAGAAUUUGCUUUUUUAGUGAAGAAGCUAAAAUUUAGGUGUGGGACAAGAAGACCCUUUUGAGCUUUAUUAAAAAUGUUUUUUUUAAGUAUUUUUAAUUUGGUUGGGGCGACCAAGGAAGAAAUGAUCUUCCUUUCUUAUGUUGAUCCGGAGGUGCCGAUUGAUAAAUCAAGUUACCAAAGGGAUAACAGCGUAAUUUUUUUUGUGAGUUCUUAUUAAAAAAAAAGAUUGCGACCUCGAUGUUGACUUAUGAUUACUUUUUGGUGUAGCAGCUGUUAAAGUAGGUCUGUUCGACCUUUAAAAUCUU